GAUGGCUACUUUUCAAGUGGUUCUAGUCUCCAACGUCCAUCGCUCUUUUAUCCUGCUCAACUAUGGGAACAUUUCAGAAACAGAACAAAUUUGGCAGGCUGGAUACAGCACAGAGGAUUCUGUCAGUUCUUUCACAAGUCCAGCAACCAGUGCCCCACAGCUCUCUUCUAGCAGCAAUAUCAAUGUGAAUGGCCGCUGCUCGUUCCAUGUUGACGGCUCACCAAACUUGCCAACUAAUCUCCUGCCUUCUGGGAAUAAAGACAUAGUGAACCCCCCUGCUGAAGAUGGAAGCUCUGGUGUCAUUUACUUGCAGCAGCCUUUCAAAUACUUUGGACGCACAUACAAUCAGAUCUUUGUGAACAACAAUGGCUAUCUAACGUUUACUGAGGCACUGACUGCCUCCAGACCCUUUCUGGAUUCUGCAAGAGACAUCAUUGCUCCUCUUUGGACUCGCCUUGACAAUAGACACGGUGGAACUAUCUCCUAUAGAGAGGACACAAGCAGCGCUGUACUAGCACAAGUCACUGCAGAUGUUAAGCAAUACUUCCCUAACAUACCUUUUGCUGCUACUUCAGCUUUCGUCGCUACCUGGGACAGUGUUCCAU